UCCCAGACUCCUACGGGAGGCAGCAGUGGGGAAUAUUGCACAAUGGGGGAAACCCUGAUGCAGCGACGCCGCGUGAAGGACGAAGUAUUUCGGUACGUAAACUUCUAUCAGCAGGGAAGAAAAUGACGGUACCUGACCAAGAAGCCCCGGCUAACUACGUGCCAGCAGCCGCGGUAAUACGUAGGGGGCAAGCGUUAUCCGGAUUUACUGGGUGUAAAGGGAGCGUAGACGGCCAUGCAAGUCUGAUGUGAAAACCCGGGGCUCAACCCCGGGACUGCAUUGGAAACUGUGCAGCUAGAGUGCAGGAGAGGUAAGUGGAAUUCCUAGUGUAGCGGUGAAAUGCGUAGAUAUUAGGAGGAACACCAGUGGCGAAGGCGGCUUACUGGACUGUAACUGACGUUGAGGCUCGAAAGCGUGGGGAGCAAACAGGAUUAGAUACCCCCGUAUA
rnacentral:rRNA from 1 species